rnacentral:misc_RNA from 1 species
GAUGAAGAACGUAGCGAAAUGCGAUAAUUAAUGUGAAUUACAGAAUUCCGUGAAUCAUCGAGUCUUUGAACGCACAUUGCGCCUCAUGGCAUUCCGUGAGGCAUGCCCAUCUCAGCGUUAGAAAAUAUUCUCAAAUUUUAGUUUUGUGCUAAAAUUUGGAUCAUGUCAAAGAAGCUAUUACUAUUAUUGUGAUCGCUCUUUGGAAAUUGAUAGGUCUUUGAGUUGCUACUCAUAGAACGUGAUGAAUCUUUCUUCGUUCUAUUGUAAUUCACUCUGGUAGUCCUAAAACUUGUAUGCCUGUGGCAUAUCUUGUAAUUUGACCUGAGAUUGGGUAGGGAUACCCGCUGAACUUAAGCAUAUCAAUAAGCGGAGGA